rnacentral:lncRNA from 1 species
AUUUUUAGGAAGUUUUACUUGAAAUCCAAAUGAAAAUGAUUAUAAAUCAAUGAAAUUGAUGGAGUUUGGAUUGGAAUCCAAGUGACAAGUAUUAAUUAAUCACUGAAAUUACUAAAUCAUACAAAUCAUCAGCCUUGAUACUGCCUCGAUUAAUUAAGGGUCGUGGUCAAACUUCAGAUGAAGAAACGGGUAUGAAGGAGCCAGUCCUUUUAAGCACGUGAAAGUCAUCACUGCAUCUUUGAAACGUAACUGACGGGAAGCCAAUUUACUUGACGUAACACUGGUGUUAAAUGGUCAUAUUUGCCUUUCGCAGUCACUAUUCUUGCAGGAAAGUUGUGUACACGUUGCAGUUUGGCGACAUUCUUGUUUCGUGUAUUCGCCUAAACAGAAGAAGAGUAAUGUACGUAAUCUGCUGGAUACUAAAGCGUUAGUUUAUUAUUGUCACAAGGGUAUGGUCAUCUAGGAUAUGUUUAAUUCGGUUAAUUUGACACAGAGAUUUCAUACAUUUCGAUACUAAACACCCAUCCAAUUCCAUCCCAAAUCGUUUGCAGCGGACAGUGGUUGUAGUUGUUUAUCAAGAAAGGACACACUGAAAUCUUGUAUUCCCUUCAACAUUUGUGGUAAUCCAAAGCUUUUUUUUUCUGGAUUAAUAAGCAGACUAUUGGAAAAACAUGCACCACGUUGCAUGCACCACACUGCAAUUUUCUGCAAAUCAUUCCUAAGUUGAGCCUGUGGUAGACUUAUUUAUAAUAAAGAACGACAAGUAGACUUUUGAAUAGUCCGCAGAAGAUUCCAAAGGGCACGUGCACUUGUCAUGAACAGUCGGUAAAUGAUUUAUACAGAUGUUAAAUAACAAUAAUGGACUAAGCAUGGAGGCCUGAGACACACCAUAUUCAACCGAGCAAGUAUAUAUCUGACAAAUUUUGACCAAUUUGACCGACUGUUUCCUUUUAGACAAAUAACUCUUAAACCAAGCUAUUGUGCGGUAGAAGCACCCAUUGAGCGAAGUUUGUUAAGAAGUUCAGAUGAUUAACGCUUUCAAACGCUUUUGAUAAAUCUUAUCAAGCGACUGUAGUCCAUUCCUUUCCAUCCAUAUAGCAUCCAAGAUCGCAUCUGUCAAAAAUAGAUUUCUGUCGAAUGACUCCUUGUCUUACUGCUUUGAUGAACGGUAAUAUAAGGCGUUUUUUCCCUAGUUAAAUACUCAGGAAAUUGAUUUUGCGCGACCACAUGGAGCAUUUAGCGAAGCUGCUGGGAGCGUGACAGAGGCCGGUUAUCAUUUAGUAUAUAUUUCAAAGUCUCCUUCUUUUAAAAGUGGUGUGACUUUAACAAGAACAAUUAGCGAUCUAUAUCUCUUUUAAUGUUGGUAAUAUAACAGGUAAAGCAUCUUUAAUCACUCUAAACGAUACCUUGUCUAUGCUAGGUGCUUUAUUUGGUGAAAACGAGUUCACAAUCUCAUACGUUGAUACCGGAUAAAAGCGGAAUUCGUCCAUGUCCUUAGCUAGCCGGUUGUAAACUUUUCGUUCGCCGCACCUUGCGUCCCGCAUUUUUACCGCUGAUAUUUCACGAGGCGAAGCCGAUCCCCGCGGCUCACCCCCGGUUUGUGACACAUAUCGAAAAAUUAAAUAAUUCGAUAGAUUGAGUUUUUUCAACUUUAAUUUAUAUAACUCGGACACGGACAGGUAGUUACCUUUUUAAUGUUCGUUCCUUGUUUUUAUGUAGAAUUUAUUUUUAGCUAAGUUAUUGAUUGUAUUUUAAAUUGAGGGCCUACAUGAAAAGCACCUAUGGGUGAUUGUGGCACCCUCAUAAAAUAUUUUGAUAAUAAUAAAAAAAUAAUAAAUAACAGGAACUUCGUGUAAUGUCAAGCUAAGCAUAUAUAGUCUGCCGCCUCGCUUCGGCUCGAAAAAUAAUGUUACUUUAAAACGUCAAAAAUCUGUUUCUUUAUGACAUACCUAAUGACUUUAAAGUGGUAUUCUGAUUCAU